rnacentral:rRNA from 1 species
UACGUAGGGGGCAAGCGUUAUCCGGAUUUACUGGGCGUAAAGCGAGCGCAGGUGGCUUAUUAAGUCUGGUGUAAAAGGCAGUGGCUCAACCAUUGUAUGCAUUGGAGACUGGUAGACUUGAGUGCAGGAGAGGAGAGUGGAAUUCCAUGUGUAGCGGUGAAAUGCGUAGAUAUAUGGAGGAACACCGGUGGCGAAAGCGGCUCUCUGGCCUGUAACUGACACUGAGGCUCGAAAGCGUGGGGAGCAAACAGG